rnacentral:rRNA from 1 species
UGGGGAAUAUUGCGCAAUGGGCGAAAGCCUGACGCAGCGACGCCGCGUGAGGGAUGAAGGUUUUCGGAUCGUAAACCUCUGUCAGAAGGGAAGAAACCGCACUGUGCUAAUCAGCAGUGCCUUGACGGUACCUUCAAAGGAAGCACCGGCUAACUCCGUGCCAGCAGCCGCGGUAAUACGGAGGGUGCAAGCGUUAAUCGGAAUUACUGGGCGUACAGCGCACGUAGGCUGCUUUGUAAGUCAGGGGUGAAAUCCCACGGCUCAACCGUGGAACUGCCUUGGAUACUGCUUAGCUUGAAGCCGGGAGAGGGUGGCGGAAUUCCAGGUGUAGGAGUGAAAGCCGUAGAUAUCUGGAGGAACAUCAGUGGCGAAGGCGGCCACCUGGACCGGUAUUGACGCUGAGGUGCGAAAGCGUGGGGAGCAAACAGG